ACGAACGCUGGCGGCGUGCUUAACACAUGCAAGUCGAGCGGUAAGGCCCUUUCGGGGGUACACGAGCGGCGAACGGGUGAGUAACACGUGGGUGACCUGCCCUCAGCUCUGGGAUAAGCCUGGGAAACCGGGUCUAAUACUGGAUAUGACUCCAUGACGCAUGUUGUGGGGUGGAAAGCCUUGUGCGGCUGAGGAUGGGCCCGCGGCCUAUCAGCUUGUUGGUGGGGUGAUGGCCUACCGAGGCGACGACGGGUAGCCGGCCUGAGAGGGCGACCGGCCACACUGGGACUGAGACACGGCCCAGACUCCUACGGGAGGCAGCAGUGGGGAAUCUUGCGCAAUGGGCGAAAGCCUGACGCAGCGACGCCGCGUGAGGGAUGACGGCCU
rnacentral:rRNA from 1 species